GAUUAAAUGUUAACCCCUAUCGGAAAACCCCGUUCCAUUCUUGUCCAUCUCUUCACUCCACCGCCUGAUUCCGCCUCGAUCUCCGAACUCUUUGAAGGUCAUCUCCGGACGAUGCCCAAUUCCGUCACCGCCACUGCCCCUUCGUGUCCAUCUCCUCACUCUAGUGCCACCGGAACCUUCUAUACUGGAAGACGAAACGUCCUCCGUCCUAUUCUGUUCAAUUUGUGUCCGUAAUCUCCAAUUCGCCGCAUUCUCUCUUCAACAUUUAAUCCGCAGCCAUCACCUCCUCACCGAUAUAUGAAAUUGGUGGCGGAUCAGGAACGUGUGCAAAGGGGAUAAUGGAUUACAUAAUGUUGAAUGCACCUACAAGAGUUUACAAGAAUAUGACUUAUACUGGAAAUAAGUUCGUCUCUAGCAGAGGUACAGAGACAAACUGUUGGAGAGGUUCGUAGUCACCAAUCAAAAUUUAAAGUAGAGUGUCGUGAUGCUGUUGACUUGAGUGGAUGGGGAGACAUGGAGGAGCAGCCGUGUUGGGUAAUUAUGCUUGAGAACACAAGUCAGAUUCUGUGGACUUUGAUGAAGAAUUUGAUGUACGCUUUGAAGAUGAAUCUGUAUGUCCAUUUUUCCUUUCUCUACUUUAUUCAUAUUUAAUAGUAACUUUAGUGGUUUGCUUCUUCCCUCUUUCCUUUGAGCACCCAAGGCACGGGUCCCUUGGAAAAAUUCCAAGGAAACGAGCAGCUCAUCACCGUGAAAAAGGUUCUUUCUUUUUUUAAUGUUUUAACUAGUUUAACUCAUUAUGUUUGAACGUAAGUGUAUCUUGAUUAAAACAGCUAAAGAGACAUGAUAUUUGGUUGAUGAGUGAAAUUUUUAAUGCAUUAUGUUUAGCAACGAAAGAGAUAUAUGAGACUAGUUUAACACAUAUGAGACUAGUUUAAUGUUUUAUGUUUUGACUAGUUUAACUGCUUUUUCGGUUAAUUACAAGGCUGGAAUGACCCACAUUGUCAGGGAGGUUGAGAAGCUCGGAUCUAGUACGUGUUCUUUGAAUUCACUAAUCUAUUUGGAUGACCUUGUUGUGUGGACACUCUAGUUAUUCUUCUAUAAUCUCACUAUUGUUUUUUUUUCAAUCUUACAUUAAUUGUAAUGUUUCUUAAUUACAUUUAAUUAACUUUUUACAGGUAAUGUUCUUUAGUCAUACUCUAAAAUGAGAUUUUUGUUUUAUAUGUUGAUAAACUUUGUAUGAAUUCAUUAUAUUGUCGUAUAUUACACCAACCAUUUGACACUA